UGAUGUAGCGCAAGAUACGUUUUACCU
rnacentral:sRNA from 1 species